UCAAUAUAAAUUGAUUAGAUUUUAUUUAUUAAUAUUUUUUUUAUUGUCUAAAUUAUCAAAAAUAAUUACAAAAUUGAUUGUUUAAGUAAUUUUUAAUGAAUAAAUAGAUUUUAUUAUAGUUGAUUAGUAGCGUGAGUGAAUAUUGAAAUAUUUUGAAAAAUUUUUAUUUAAUAAGAAGAUUUAAUUUAUCGUACCUUGUGUAUCAGGGUUUAUUAAUUAAACAAUAAUUAUUUAUUUUUCUCGAUUUUAUAAGAGUUAAUAAUUUAUUAAAGUUGAUGUAUCAAAAUCAUUUUGAAUAAAUUAUUUGGAAUGAAAUGUUAUUCGUUUAUAAAGGUAUCUAGUUCUUUUAGAAAUAAAUUUAAUUUAGUAAUUUUGAAUUUUUUGUUUAUUUAUAUUAAGUAAAAAAUUUUUUAAUUAUAAUUUUCCAGGGGAUAAGCUUUGGAAAAAAUUAUUAAAAGUUAAUAGUUAUUUUAUGAGAUGUAUGUAUAGAAUUUGCAGUCAUUUUUAAGUUUGUUAUAAAUUAUUUUAUUAUUUAUAUUAUUUAUUUAGCUUUAAUUAUUUAUAGAAGUUUUUAUUUUAAUUUUUAAAAUAAAGUAAUAAUGAUAGAAUUAGUAUAUGUUUAUUGUAAAUUUAAUUUUAUAUGGAAAGUUUAUGUAAAGAAUUCGGCAAAAUUUUAUGCCCGCCUGUUUAACAAAAACAUGUCUUUUUGAGUUAUUUUUAAAGUCUGACCUGCCCAAUGAGUAAAUUGAAUGGCCGCAGUAUACUAACUGUGCAAAGGUAGCAUAAUCAUUAGUCUUUUAAUUGAAGGCUGGUAUGAAUGGUUGGACGAGGUAUAAACUGUUUCAUUUAAAUUUUUGAUAGAAUUUUAUAUUUUAGUUAAAAAGCUAAAAUUUUUUUAAAAGACGAGAAGACCCUAUAAAUCUUUAUAUUUUAUUUUAUUUAAAUUUUUUGGAUUUAUUUUAUUUUUAUAAUUUAAAAUAUUUUAUUGGGGUGAUAUUAAAAUUUAAAUAACUUUUAAUUUUUUAAACCAUUAAUUUAUGUAUAUUUGAUCCGUUAUUAGCGAUUAUAAGUUUAAGUUACUUUAGGGAUAACAGCGUAAUUUUUUUGGAGAGUUCAUAUCGAUAAAAAAGAUUGCGACCUCGAUGUUGGAUUAAGAUAUAAUUUUAGGUGUAGCCGCUUAAAUUUUGAGUCUGUUCGACUUUUAAAUUCUUACAUGAUCUGAGUUCAAACCGGUG
rnacentral:rRNA from 1 species